rnacentral:misc_RNA from 1 species
CAAAUUGAGAUCAAUUAAACGCUUGAAAUUUAAAGCUAGGUUUUCGAAUUUUUCAGAACCAUUUACAGAGAGGGAGAGGAUGAGCGAGCCGAGGCCAGUGCGGAGGAGAGAGAGUCCAUGGGGGAUGCCAGAAGGAGAGCAUCGUCAACCAAAGCCUCACAGAUGUAAUGAUCGAGCUGAGGAUGUUAUCCAAGCUUGUUUUGAGGGGAACCCAUUUAAAACAGUUCCAGGACCAUUUAAGCUCUUCUGGCAAUGCAUGCGCUCCAAUCCUGGGGAGGAACCGACUGAGCCGUACACUUACUUGCAAAUAGAUCCACCAAAGAGAGAAGCGAAACUUGAGUGAAAUAUGAGUUCCUUUUUGUUCAGAUCAAAUGAUCUUCUACACUUCCCAGUUGUUUGUCGUCAAAUAUGCAUGACUGAUGUAUAAAUUUGGAGAGCCACAAAUGUU